UGGCUCAUUAAAACAGUUAUAGUUUACUUGAUAAUAAAAUUUUACAUGGAUAACCGUGGUAAUUCUAGAGCUAAUACAUGAGCAAAAUCUUGACUUUUUUAGAAAAGAUGCAUUUAUUAGAUAAAAAACCAAUACAUACUUUUUAAGUAUGAAAGUUGGUGAUUUACAAUAACUUAGCAAAUCGCAUAGUGAAAACUGGCGAUAAAUCAUUCAAGUUUCUGACCUAUCAGCUUUCGACGGUAUGGUAUUGGCUUACCGUGGCAGUGACGGUUAACGGGGGAUUAGGGUUCGAUUCCGGAGAGGGAGCCUGAGAAACGGCUACCACAUCUAAGGAAGGCAGCAGGCGCGCAAAUUACCCAAUUCUAACAGCAUAAGAGAGGUAGUGACAAGAAAUAACAAUACAAGGCAGUUAAAAUGCUUUGUAAUUGGAAUGAUAGAAAUUUAAACACUUUUUAAAGUAUCAAUUGGAGGGCAAGUCUGGUGCCAGCAGCCGCGGUAAUUCCAGCUCCAAUAGCGUAUAUUAAAAUUGUUGCAGUUAAAAAGCUCGUAGUUGAAUUUCUGCUUAAAAUAACCAGUCUGCUUUUAACAAAAGUGGUAUCUUGGUGUGUUUUUAGCAAUAAUGUCCUUUGAAAUGUGUUUUACUUUGUUGUAAAAGGCAAUAUUCAGGAUUUUUACUUUGAGAAAAUUAGAGUGUUUCUAGCAGGCUAAUGCUUUGAAUACUGCAGCAUGGAAUAAUAAAAUAGGAAUUUGGUUCUACAUUAUUGGUUU
rnacentral:rRNA from 1 species